rnacentral:pre_miRNA from 1 species
UGAUAUUAUUGCGUCAGGAUCGGGUAAUCUGCAUCCUGAGGUUUAGAUCUGCUCAUAUGUUUGUUGUAUCUAGCCCUUGGGAUGCGGAUUACCUUGUCCUCACUGGCAAUGCAAUACUUGUCA